UACGUAGGGGGCAAGCGUUGUCCGGAAUCAUUGGGCGUAAAGCGCGUGUAGGCGGCUUGAUAAGUCUGCUGUGAAAGUCCAGGGCUCAACCCUGGGAUGCCGGUGGAUACUGUCGAGCUCGAGUCCGGAAGAGGCGAGUGGAAUUCCUGGUGUAGCGGUGAAAUGCGCAGAUAUCAGGAGGAACACCGAUGGCGAAGGCAGCUCGCUGGGACGUGACUGACGCUGAGACGCGAAAGCGUGGGGAGCAAACAGG
rnacentral:rRNA from 1 species